UACGUAGGUGGCGAGCGUUGUCCGGAUUUACUGGGCGUAAAGCGUGCGCAGGCGGUUGUGUAAGUCUGUCGUGAAAUCCCCGGGCUCAACCUGGGAAUUGCGAUGGAGACUGCACGGCUAGAGUGUGUCAGAGGGGGGUAGAAUUCCACGUGUAGCAGUGAAAUGCGUAGAUAUGUGGAGGAACACCGAUGGCGAAGGCAGCCCCCUGGGAUAACACUGACGCUCAUGCACGAAAGCGUGGGGAGCAAACAGG
rnacentral:rRNA from 1 species